GCGGGGCCCCGGGGUCUCGGCGGGGCGGGUCCGAGGGCGGCGGCGGGGUCCCCGGGGGUGUCGGCGGGUCCGAGGGCGGCGGCGCGGGGUCCCCGGGGUGUCGGCGGGUCCGAGGGCGGCGGCGCGGGGUCCCCGGGGUGUCGGCGGGUCCGAGGGCGGCGGCGCGGGCUCGCGGGCUCUCGGGCUCCCGGCGCCGCCCGACGUCACUUCCGACCGGAGCCAAGAUGGCGUCGGCGCGGCCGCGGACGCCGGGGCGGGCGGAGCGGCGGCAGCGGCGGCGCGGGCGGCGGCUCUCGGCGCUGUGAGGCGCGGGGCGCGGCGGGCGCAGGUAAGGGGGGCGGAGGCGGCGGAGGCGGCGGGGCCGGGCGGGCUCCGGGACGGCGGCGGGGUGGGCGCCGGGACGCCCGUCCCUGCCCGCGAGGAGCGAGGCGGCGGCGGGGGCGACCCGCGGGGACCGGGCGGGCGGGCGGACGCGCCCCCUCGGAGCGGCCGGGCGGGGGGGGGGGUGGAUCUCGGAGCCGGGCUCGGGCCCCCGCGGCCCCCCGCGCCCCGGACCGGCCUCGGGGCCGCCGCCGCCAAGUUGUGCGGGGCGCUUUGUGGCGGUUGGGUCGCCGCGCGCCCGGCGGGGGGAGGGGCGGGGUCGGGGUCGGGGUCGGGGUCGGGGUCAGGGGCGGGGCGGGACCCGGGUCGGGGUCGGGUCGGGGUCGGGGGCGGGGCGGGACCCGGGUCGGGGUCGGGUCGGGGUCGGGGCCGGGGCGGCGGCGGGUCCCGGGCGGUGGGCGCGGGCGGGGUUCGUCCGGGGCCGCCCCUCCUCGGCAGCCGCCGCGCUCCCCUCUUUUGUGCCGGGCGCGGGCGUGUGUCGCCCACUUGGCAUUCCUGACGCGUCGCGUGCCUUUGCGCCUUUUGUGUUUAUUCCCCGAGAGUUGCGCGCCCCGAGGCUGGAGGUGGCCCCCGCCCCGCGCCCCCGUCGCGGACCCCGGGGUUUUGCUCGCGGGGAGCCGCCGCGCGCUCGCGGAUGGACCUUUGGCUACCGGAGCCGCCUACGCGCCUACCCUUGGGGGGCCGGUGGGACCCGUGGGACCCGAAGCAGCCGAAGCACCCCUGCCUGCCGCGCGGAGGACCCCCAGCGACCCCGCUGACCCGCGGAGCCCGGCCGGGCGCUCGGGUCGGGCCCCGUGGGGCGCGGAGCCCGGAUUCCUGGACGCAGCUGUAACCCCCCGAGAAAGGGCAUUUACGCCGCGCCCCCCCCCCCCCCCAGCCUUCCAUUCAGUGUUGUGCUGGGGUUGGUUUUACUUCAUUAGUUUUAUUGCAGGCGCCUCGGGGAGGUCCCAGGCGGCCCUCGGGCCCCUUCCAUCGGACGCUGAAAUGGUCGCACCCACAACGCGGCCGAAAUCUCUCCAAGUUUUUGUUGACUACAGGGUCUAA
rnacentral:lncRNA from 1 species